rnacentral:rRNA from 1 species
UACGUAGGGCGCAAGCGUUGUCCGGAAUUAUUGGGCGUAAAGAGCUCGUAGGUGGUUUGUUACGUCUGCUGUGAAAACCUAGGGCUUAACCCUGGGCCUGCAGUGGAUACGGGCAGACUAGAGGUAGGUAGGGGAGAAUGGAAUUCCCGGUGUAGCGGUGAAAUGCGCAGAUAUCGGGAGGAACACCGGUGGCGAAGGCGGUUCUCUGGGCCGUUACUGACGCUGAGACGCGGAAGCGUGGGGAGCAAACAGG